rnacentral:rRNA from 1 species
GAUGAACGCUAGCGAUAGGCUUAACACAUGCAAGUCGAGGGGCAGCGAGGGUAGCAAUACCUGUCGGCGACCGGCGCACGGGUGAGUAACGCGUAUGUAACCUGCCCGCAACAGGGGGAUAACCCGGCGAAAGUCGGACUAAUACCGCAUAAAACAGGGGUCCCGCAUGGGAAUAUUUGUUAAAGAUUUAUCGGUUGCGGAUGGGCAUGCGUACCAUUAGGUAGUUGGUGAGGUAACGGCUCACCAAGCCUUCGAUGGUUAGGGGUUCUGAGAGGAAGGUCCCCCACACUGGUACUGAGGCACGGACCAGACUCCUACGGGAGGCAGCAGUGAGGAAUAUUGGUCAAUGGGCGAGAGCCUGAACCAGCCAAGUCGCGUGAAGGAUGACUGCCCUAGGGGUUGUAAACUUCUUUUACAAGGGAAUAAAAUGAGAUACGUGUAUUUUAUUGCAUGUACCUUGAGAAUAAGCAUCGGCUAACUCCGUG